rnacentral:rRNA from 1 species
UACGUAGGGGGCAAGCGUUGUCCGGAAUCAUUGGGCGUAAAGCGCGUGUAGGCGGUUCGAUAAGUCGGCUGUGAAAGUCCAGGGCUCAACCCUGGGAUGCCGGUCGAUACUGCCGGACUAGAGUUCGGAAGAGGCGAGUGGAAUUCCCGGUGUAGCGGUGAAAUGCGCAGAUAUCGGGAGGAACACCUAUGGCGAAGGCAGCUCGCUGGGACGUUACUGACGCUGAGACGCGAAAGCGUGGGGAGCAAACAGG